GCGGAUGUGGCGGAAUUGGUAGACGCGCUAGAUUUAGGUUCUAGUGCCGCAAGGUGUGGGGGUUCAAGUCCCUUCAUCCGCACCA
rnacentral:tRNA from 1 species